rnacentral:rRNA from 1 species
AGCCCUUGACAUCCCGGUCGCGGUUACCAGAGAUGGUUUCCUUCAGUUCGGCUGGACCGGUGACAGGUGCUGCAUGGCUGUCGUCAGCUCGUGUCGUGAGAUGUUGGGUUAAGUCCCGCAACGAGCGCAACCCUCACCUUCAGUUGCCAUCAGUACGGCUGGGCACUCUGGAGGAACUGCCGGUGAUAAGCCGGAGGAAGGCGAGGAUGACGUCAAGUCCUCAUGGCCCCUACGGGCUGGGCUACACACGUGCUACAAUGGUGAAUACAGUGGGACGCAAAUGGGCAACCUGGAGCCAAUCCCCAAAAUUCAUCUCAGUUCGGAUUGUCCUCUGCAACUCGAGGGCAUGAAGU